rnacentral:rRNA from 1 species
CUUUUACAAUGAAGAGUUUGAUCCUGGCUCAGGAUGAACGCUAGCUCCAGGCUUAACACAUGCAAGUCGAGGGG